rnacentral:rRNA from 1 species
GAGGAAUAAGCAUCGGCUAACUCCGUGCCAGCAGCCGCGGUAAUACGGGGGAUGCAAGCGUUAUCCGGAAUCAUUGGGCGUAAAGCGCCUGUAGGUUGUUUAAUAAGUCUGUUGUUAAAGACUAGGGCUUAACCCUAGGAAAGCAAUGGAAACUACUAGACUUGAGUAUGAUAGGGGUAGAGGGAAUUUCUAGUGUAGCGGUGAAAUGCGUAGAUAUUAGGAAGAACACCGGUGGCGAAGGCGCUCUACUGGAUCAUUACUGACACUCAGAGGCGAAAGCUAGGGUAGCAAAAGGGAUUAGAUACCCCUGUAGUCCUAGCCGUAAACGAUGGAUACUAGAUGUUGCGUUUAUUAUGCAGUAUCGUAGCUAACGCGUUAAGUAUCCCGCCUGGGGAGUACGCUCGCAAGGGUGAAACUCAAAGGAAUUGACGGGGGCCCGCACAAGCGGUGGAGCAUGUGGUUUAAUUCGAUGCAACGCGAAGAACCUUACCAAGGCUUGACAUACUACAAAUUUCUUUGAAAGAGGAAAGUGCCUUCGGGAAUGUAGAUACAGGUGGUGCAUGGCUGUCGUCAGCUCGUGUCGUGAGAUGUUGGGUUAAGUCCCGCAACGAGCGCAACCCUUAUUUUUAGUUGCUAAUUUAUUAGGUUUUCUAAAAAGACUGCCGGUGACAAACCGGAGGAAGGUGAGGAUGACGUCAAGUCAGCAUGCCCCUUAUGCCUUGGGCUACACACGUGCUACAAUGGUUAAGACAAAGAGUUGCGAGCUCGCGAGAGUCAGCUAAUCUCAUAAACUUAGCCUAAGUUCGGAUUGUAGGCUGCAACUCGCCUACAUGAAG